UACGUAGGGUGCGAGCGUUAUUCGGAAUUACUGGGCGUAAAGCGUGCGUAGGCGGUUAUUUAAGUCGGGUGUGAAAGCCCCGGGCUCAACCUGGGAAUUGCAUUCGAGACUGAAUAGCUAGGGUACGGUAGAGGGAAGUGGAAUUUCCGGUGUAGCGGUGAAAUGCGUAGAUAUCGGAAGGAACAUCAGUGGCGAAAGCGACUUCCUGGGCCAGUACCGACGUUCAGGCACGAAAGCGUGGGGAGCAAACAGG
rnacentral:rRNA from 1 species